AAAUUGCUCAAGAUAUAGCUUAAGACACAACCACUAGUAAAUCGGUUUACUUACUACCCUUAGAUUGCAUGUGCUGACUUCAAAAUCCAAUAACUCCUUCAUCCCAACUUGGAAUCCAGUAAGUAGUAUGUGAAAAGUAUAGCCGCAAUAGUGCUCUCUCCAGUCGCAAUCACCGUUUCUCAAUUGCUAUCCAUACGCGUGCGUUAUGCCUACAAGAGAGACAAUAGGUCCAAAACUAACACCUUAACUUUGAGCACCUAUAACUUCUUCAUAAAAAUCCCA
rnacentral:lncRNA from 1 species